AUCUGCUUCGGUUUGGACGGGAACGUACUCCGGUUGAGAUGGCAGGUUGCAAAGAAGCAUCCAGGUUACCUCGCUACGCUCGAAGCAGUCGGGCAAAGGGGCG